AGUCGUAACAAGGUCUCCGUUGGUGAACCAGCGGAGGGAUCAUUAUCGAGUUAUUCAACUCCCAAACCCUAUGUGAACUUACCACUUGUUGCUUCGGCGCGCGCUUCGGCGCCGCCGAGGACACUUAAACUCUUUGUUUUUAUAAGCAUUUCUGAGUGGCCGAAAGGCAAAAAUACAAAUGAAUCAAAACUUUCAACAACGGAUCUCUUGGUUCUGGCAUCGAUGAAGAACGCAGCGAAAUGCGAUAAGUAAUGUGAAUUGCAGAAUUCAGUGAAUCAUCGAAUCUUUGAACGCACAUUGCGCCCGCCAGCAUUCUGGCGGGCAUGCCUGUUCGAGCGUCAUUUCAACCCUCGAGCCCGACUCUUUUGAGGACGGCUCGGCGUUGGGGGACGGCAGACUCCCCCCGGCAUCUCGCCGGGGACGCCGCCCCCGAAAUCUAGUGGCGGCCCUCCGAGGCGACCUCUGCGUAGUAACUUGUUCUCGCACCGGAAAGCUCAGAGCGGCCACGCCGUAAAACCCCAACUUUUUUCAGGUUGACCUCGAAUCAGGUAGGACUACCCGCUGAACUUAAGCAUAUCAAUAAGUCG
rnacentral:rRNA from 1 species